AUUACCAAACAAAUUUGAUAUUAAUCUCCAUUGGUCCAACAGUUGGAGAAGAUGUUCCUUAGGUCACUCAUAGCCAUAUGAAGUUAUUUGGCCAAAAUAAAAAAAUCCAUGCGAAGACUGGUGCAUAUCAGGGACUUGGAGGUGCUAGCUUGCAAGCAACUUUGACAGCUGAUCUCUUCCUUCUUCUUCUAGCACCUUGGAUACUCCAAAGCAAUAGGAGAUCUAGAGGAGG
rnacentral:lncRNA from 1 species